CUACGGGUUGCUGCAGGCGCGAAAACUCUACAAUGCACGAAAGUGUGAUAGGGUAACCCCCUGUGCUAACUUUGUUAGCUUUUGUCAAGAAUAAUGCUCUUGACGAAUAAGUGGUGGGCAAGACCGGUGCCAGCAGCCGCGGUAACACCGGCGCCACAAGUGGAGUUCGCUAUUAUUGGGUCUAAAGCGUCCGUAGCAGGUUUAAUAAGUCUCUUGUUAAAUUUCUAGGCUUAACCUAGAAACUGCGAGAGAAACUAUUAGACUUGGGACCGGGAGAGGUCAGAGGUAUUUUAGGGGUAGCGGUUAAAUGUUAUAAUCCUUAAAGGACCAACUAAUGCGAAGGCAUCUGACUAGAACGGAUCCGACUGUGAGGGACGAAAGCUGGGGGAGCGAACCGGAUUAGAUACCCCCGUAGUC
rnacentral:rRNA from 1 species